UACGGGGGGGGCAAGCGUUGUUCGGAAUUACUGGGCGUAAAGGGCUCGUAGGCGGCCAACUAAGUCGGACGUGAAAUCCCCAGGCUCAACCUGGGAACUGCGUCUGAUACUGGGAGGCUUGAGUAUGGGAGAGGGAUGUAGAAUUCCAGGUGUAGCGGUGAAAUGCGUAGAUAUCUGGAGGAAUACCGGUGGCGAAGGCGGCAUCCUGGACCAUAACUGACGCUGAGGCGCGAAAGCUAGGGGAGCAAACGGG
rnacentral:rRNA from 1 species